AGCUUCCGAAGAUUAUGGAGUUAGUGGGUCUCAGAUACGCAUCGUCUCAGUGAUUGUCUGUCGUUGAAGGAGAUUCUUCCCGAGUCGAUAUAUUUAGCUAUCUUUAAGUUGGCGUUUGACGAGCAUAAAGUUCAUGAUGGUGGAGAGGUUAGAGGAGGUACUCCCGUAGGGAGCAGUAGUACGAUACGACGUUCUAAUGCAGACGACGUUGAUAACAGGGAUGCCGACAACGACGAUGAUGAGGAGUGAGUGAGACUUGUGUUAAGACAUAUUAUGACUUUUGAAUUUUACCUAUAUGUAAUAUAUUUGUGAUUUUAUUGCAUAGUGAAUGAAUAUU